rnacentral:lncRNA from 1 species
UUGAUAGCAGUUAUAAUGUAAAUGACAGAAUGUAAAAGACUUAGGGGAUUUAAAGUGGUUCAGAGACUCAAGCUCCUAAUCUACUUUUCUGCUUUAACGAGCAAGGAUUCUACUAAGGAAGUCUUUACAUCCUUGAAUCACUAAGAUUCACUGAAGCCCAGCAGCCUUGGAACUAUAGUUCACUUAGAACUCUUCCAAGUCCAGCAGACUUGGAACUCCAGUUCACUAUGAACUCUCCAAGGCCUGUAGCCUUGGAACUUAGUUUAGUCCCUUGGACAAGGACCCUUUUGGCCCCAGCUUUUGUUGUUGUUGUUAGUGCUGAGCUGCCAAGAUGACUUUAAGCUUGUUUAUCCUUGAUAUUUGG